AGGAAAGGAAUUGCAGCAGAAGGGAGAAGAAAGAAAGCGACGAAAUUUCACCAACAAGAACGCCAUUCAGGAGUCAGUUAGAAACAAAGAGAAAUGUGUGAACAGAAGCGAGAGGAGAAAACGCGCUCU
rnacentral:ribozyme from 1 species